rnacentral:rRNA from 1 species
CGCGUAUGCAAUCUACCUUAUACUAAGGGAUAGCCCGGAGAAAUUCGGAUUAAUACCUUAUGGUAUCACGACGUUUCAUGGCGAUGUGAUUAAAGAUUUAUCGGUAUAAGAUGAGCAUGCGUCCCAUUAGAUAGUUGGUGAGGUAACGGCUCACCAAGUCCGCGAUGGGUAGGGGUCGUGAGAGGAUGGUCCCCACCACUGGUACUGAGAUACGGACCAGACUCCUACGGGAGGCAGCAGUAGGGAAUAUUGGUCAAUGGACGCAAGUCUGAACCAGCCAUGCCGCGUGAAGGAAGACGG